GAUGAACGCUGGCGGCGUGCCUAAUACAUGCAAGUCGAGCGAAUGGAUUAAGAGCUUGCUCUUAUGAAGUUAGCGGCGGACGGGUGAGUAACACGUGGGUAACCUGCCCAUAAGACUGGGAUAACUCCGGGAAACCGGGGCUAAUACCGGAUAACAUUUUGAACCGCAUGGUUCGAAAUUGAAAGGCGGCUUCGGCUGUCACUUAUGGAUGGACCCGCGUCGCAUUAGCUAGUUGGUGAGGUAACGGCUCACCAAGGCAACGAUGCGUAGCCGACCGGAGAGGGUGAUCGGCAACACUGGGACUGGGACACGGCCAAGACUCCUACGGGAGGCAGCAGUAGGGAAUCUUCCGCAAUGGACGAAAGUCUGACGGAGCAACGCCGCGUGAGUGAUGAAGGCUUUCGGGUCGUAAAACUCUGUUGUUAGGGAAGAACAAAUGUGUAAGUAACUGUGCACGUCUUGACGGUACCUAAUCAGAAAGCCACGGCUAACUACGUGCCAGCCGCCGCGGUAA
rnacentral:rRNA from 1 species